rnacentral:rRNA from 1 species
CCUACGGGAGGCAGCAGUGAGGAAUAUUGGUCAAUGGACGAGAGUCUGAACCAGCCAAGUAGCGUGAAGGAUGACUGCCCUAUGGGUUGUAAACUUCUUUUAUAUGGGAAUAAAACAGGGUAUGCAUACCCUCUUGUAUGUACCAUAUGACUAAGGAUCGGCUAACUCCGUGCCAGCAGCCGCGGUAAUACUGUGGAUCCGAGCGUUAUCCGGAUUUAUUGGGUUUAAAGGGUGCGUAGGUGGAUUGUUAAGUCAGUGGUGAAAGUUUGCGGCUCAACCGUAAAAUUGCAGUUGAAACUGGCAGUCUUGAGUACAGUAGAGGUGGGCGGAAUUCGUGGUGUAGCGGUGAAAUGCUUAGAUAUCACGAAGAACUCCGAUUGCGAAGGCAGCUCACUGGACUGCAACUGACACUGAUGCUCGAAAGUGUGGGUAGCAAACAGGAUUAGAUACCCCUGUAGUC